UCAAGCUGCACUCUGUGGACUUGGAGAAGCAGAUCUGCGACCUAUAGGUGAAGCUAGCUCAGCUGUGACAGCGGAAAGCCUCGCUGGAAUCAUCCUGGACUGACGCUUACCUGUCCCAGGUAAAUCCGCAGCAUGAAACAAACACUCCCACAACCUCAACUCCGUGUUCUUCUCUGCCCAGGCCCAGCGCACCAAGGACGCGGCCCACCCAGGUUUCGUUCACUCCGGUGCCGGGGUACCAUGCAGCCUGGAUGCAGCAGCAGCGGAAGACAUGAGCCAAGCCCCGGGCGAGGACCUCUCCCCCUCCGCUACCACCAGUUUUCGAGAUCUCGACCCGCAAACCCUUCGCUCCCCUCCGUGAGCCGGAGUGCGACGCGGUGAUCAUAGGAGACUCCAUUGUCCGGCACGUCCGUGCAACCGAGGCUAAAGGUAAGGUGCGCACUCGCUGUUUUCCUGGUGCUUGUGUUGUUGAUGUUGCUGCACAGGUACCCGUGAUCCUGAAUAAGAACAUCGGAGCUGUGGUUCUCCAUGCUGGCGCGAACGACAUCAGGCUGAGGCAGACGGAGAUCCUGAAGAAGGACUUCAGGAGCCUGGUGGAGAAGGUUCACACCACAUCGCCCACGAUGAGGAUCAUCAUGUCAGGACCACUUCCCACAUUCCAGCGAGGAAUCGAGAGCGUCCUAGGCUCUACCGUUCUGAUGGCCUGCACCCAAGCAGAGUUGGAGCAGCAGUCGUCUGGGACAACAUCUCCAGGACACUAUGCACCAUCUGAUGGGUAAGUCAUACCUUAGAUUACAAUUAAAAUAGCUACUGUUCAACUCACCAGAUUGAUACAAAUGCACACACAGCUCGUCCUAUAGAAACUGUGUCUGUUCCCCGAAUAGUGAGCUCAAUGGAUAUAUUCAUUAAUAGCUUUCGAAAUAAUCUAAUCACAAUUAAACCUGACAAAGGCCAAAUAAGUAAAGAAAAACAAUUUCUAAAGUUUUGGCUUCUCAACAUUAGAUCCCUUGCACCGAAAGCAAUUACUGUCAAAGAAAUGAUCUCAGAUUAUAGUUUCGAUACACUCUGUCUCACGGAAACCUGGCUUAGACCAAAUGAAUACAUUGGUCUGAAUGAGUCUACUCCAUCAGGAUAUUCCUAUAAGCAUGAGCCCCCUCAGACUGGUCAUGGUGGUUGCAACCAUCUAUAACAAUUCUCUUACCGUUACUCAGAAAAUAGGACCCAGGUUUAGCUCAUUUGAAGUGCUUAUCCUUAAUGUUGCACUCACUGACAUACAUAAAAAAUCCCUACUAUAUCUUGCUCUGCCCACCGUAUAUAGACCCCAGGGGCCCUACACUGAUUUUCUUAGAGUUUGCACACUUACUCUCAGAUCUUUUGAUCAGUUUUGACAAAGUGUUAAUUGUAUGAGACUUUAACAUUUAUGUAGACGAUGCUAAUGAUGCUUUAGGACUCACAUUUAUAGAUUUACUAAAUUCUUUUGGGGUUAAACAAACAUUAAUAGACCAACGGGCACAAAGAGCUAUUUAAACUCAUCACCACGGCUAAAUCAACAACGUAUUUGUUAGAUCCAAUUCCAACUAUAUUGCUGAAAGAAGUAAUACAUGCAGCUGGAGAGCCUCUUCUCAAUAUUAUUAAUUCCUCGUUAUAUCUAGGUCAUGUCCCAAAAUCUCUCAAGUUAGCAGUUAUUAAGCCUCUUCUUAAGAAACCUAAACUAGACCCUAAUGAACUAUCAAAUUACAGACCUAUUUCAAACCUUCCGUUUAUAUCAAAAAUAUUAGAAAAAGUGGUGUCGGCUCAAUUAUGCUCCUUCUUACAGGAAAACAAUAUCCUUGAAGAAUUUCAGUUAGGUUUCAGGCUCCAUCAUAGUACAGAAACUGCACUAGUUAAAAUCACAAAUGACUUGCUUUUAGCUUCGGACCAGGGGUGCAUCUCCAUAUUAGUCCUGCUUGAUCUUAGUGCUGCGUUUGACAUAACAUUCUCGUAGAUCGCUUACAAAAUCACAUAGGUUUGCAGGGACAGUCAUUAAAAUGGUUUAGAUCCUACCUGUCUGAUCGAUCCCAUUUUGUAGAUUUAAAUGGAGAACUGUCCAGUGUAGUGCCAGUGAAAUACGGGGUCCCACAAGGAUCAGUUUUAGAACCUCUGCUUUUCUCGGUAUACAUGCUUCCAUUGGGUAACAUCACUAGAAGGCAUGGGGUUAGUUUCCAUUGUUAUGCAGAUGAUACCCAGUUAUAUAUCUCAUCAAAACCAGAUGAACUAUCUAAUUUGUCUAGAAUUAACUGAGUGUGUUAAAGAUAUUAAAGAUUGGAUGACCGAUAAUUUUCUAGUACUAAAUUCUGAUGAGACAGAGAUAUUACUUAUUGGUUCAAAAAUCAGUACACAAAAGCUCUCGCAAUUCAGCUUGCAUUUAGAAGGAUGUACUAUUACUACUAGCUCAACAGUGAAAGACCUGGGUGUAAUAUUAGACAGCAACUUGUCCUUUGAAAAUCAUAUUUCUAAAUAUUACAAAAACAGCCUUCUUCCAUCUUAGAAAUGUUGCCAAGCUUAGGAACGUUUUAUCUGUAUCUGAUGCAGAAAAGCUAGUUCAUGCAUUCAUGACCUCCAGACUGGACUGUUGUAAUGCAUUACUAGGUGGUUGUCCUGCAUCUUCAAUAAACAAGCUACAGUUAGUCCAAAAUGUAGCCGCCAGAGUUCUUACCAGGUCAAGAAAAUAUGAUCAUAUAACCCCAAUAUUAUCAUCCCUGCACCGGCUACCUGUUAAGUUUAGAAUUGACUAUAAACUAUCACUAUUUACAUUCAAGGCUUUAAAUGGUUUAGCUCCCACUUAUCUAGCCAGUCUUCUAACACGUUACAAUCCACCACACUCUUUAAGAUCACAAAACUCUGGACUUCUGGUAGUUCCCACAAUAUCAAAGUCUACAAAAGGGGGUAGAGCGUUUUCGUAUUUAGCUCCUAAACUUUGGAAUAGUCUUCCUGACAGUGUGCGGGGCUCAGACACAGUCUCCCAGUUCAAACGUAGACUAAAGACUUAUCUCUUUAGCUGGCAUGCAUUUAAUACAUCCCAUAACCUUGUACUCCAGUACAUCUGAUUAAAUGCACAUUAUCAUCUAGUGCUGCUAAUAUUAUGAACAGCAGCUAUGCUAAUUACUUUCCACUUGUUUCCUUUCUUCUACCCAUCCCGAGGCAUAUAGAGAUUGUGCCAGCUCCAGUGGCAUCCAGAGAUGGACCAGCUCCAGCCGGGUUCCGCUUUGAGGAUUGGGUUAUUCAAAGCAACGCUGCCAAAAUUAUGUGGACGACAACAACCUCCUUAUUAAUUUACAUAACAUUCUACACAUGCUGUAUCUGCGUCACACGAUUGACUAUACAUAAAUGCACAAAGGACAUUGUUCAUAUCACACUCUCCGGUGUUUAGAAUAAUUUAUAAUAACACUCUCUGCUGUCACCCAAAUGAGGAUGGGUUCCCUUUUGAGUCUGGUUCCUCUCAAGGUUUCUUCCUCAUAAAAUCAAAGGGAGUUUUUCCUUGCCACAGUCGCCUCAGUCACCUCAGGCUUGCUCACUUGGGAUAACAUCUAGGACUGUUUGUCUGUUCAUAUGUUUGUUGUUUCUUAUGUAAGGCUGCUUUGAGACAAUGCUCUUUGUUGAAAAGCGCUAUACAAAUAAAAUUGAAUUGAAUGCGCAUGUAAAGGCAGACGUCCCAAAACUUUUGGCUAUUAAGUGUAUAUUACCUUUUGCACUUGUAAGUAAAUUACAGUGUUUUCUGUAAGUCAACCUUUAGUGACGUAACAAUCACAUUGGACGAAGGCGUAUUUGGAAGGACAACUGCUGGGUGCUGGAGGAUUGGCUGUGUUUUUGCUGGGACACGCAAAGAAGACGGAUUGCCAAUUGCAAUCAAGUACGUCUCCAAAAAGAUGCCUUAUGAAAAACUGCAGCUUACAGGAUAUGGAUGGCUGCCCAUUGAGAUAGCUUUGACGAUCCUUGCAAACACAGAACCUUGCUCAAAAAUCCUGAAGAUUCUGGACUUGUACGAAGAGGCAAAAUGAUACGUUUUCGUCCAGGAACAGCCUGAACCAUGUGUGGACCUCGAGGAAUUCUCCGGCCAGCAAGGUGGAUAUUUGACUGAGGUCGUGGCUCGCCAUGUUAUGUUUCAGCUGAUGGAGGCUCUGAAGCAUUGUAAGAGCCAGGGGAUACUGCAUCAUGAUGUCAGAAAACAUUCUGAUUCAGACAGGCACGUGGCAAGUCAAGCUGUUUGACUUGAAAGAGACCUCGUCAAAUACGAGGAGCAUUAUGCAGAGCAUUAUGUGGAAGUAACCUCCAAAUGACCUUGCCUUGUUCUACAUUGAAUCACACAUGACUAAAUGCACUAAUACUUUGAAUUUUGAAUAUAAUGUUUCAUUUCUAAUAUUGUAAGACUGUUAUGAUCUAGCUGUGCUAAUGUAUAAUUGAGAGCAUGAGCUUCAGGCAGAAUUACAGUUGAACAUGCAAAAUUAAUCUGCUUUUGUUAAAUUUGUUUCUCAGCAAGGACUUGUCAUAAUCACUUUUUCAGAACUGACACUGAAAAGGGAAAUUAUAGUUUUUGGAUUUAGGGUUUCUAGCGUUUAUAAUCAAUGAGAAAGAGAUUAGAAAUAGAAAUGAGAUUGUAUUGUGAAUUUAUUUUUGAAUAACCACAGACCCGAGGAACUACUGUACAAUGUCUGUUUAAACAUUGCCUCUCAGUCCUAUGUAGACAUUAUGGCAAUAAUGUUAAGCUCCAACUCUUCUGCAUUCAUGCAUCUCCUGAACAUCUCCCGAUCAGCUACCGGUGUAUUCGCUCGGCCGAGGUGGAGGGUCAGCGCGCACACAGGAGCAGCAGUGGAGUGAAGUUCUGUGUUGUGUCCGAUCUUCAGUCAAGAGGAGCUGAACAUGCCUUAGAGAUCUUGUACUUCUUGGAUUCUAUCACAAGUCAAAGUCUGCUGUUGCGUGGACCAUCUGUCUGGCAUUAAACUGACACCAAAACCAGCACAUGUUUAUAAUUAUACGAGUUGCCUGUUUUCUGGCUUGAUCUGAAAUUUUUACAUCACUUAAGUGUGUGGUGGUGUAUUCAUCAAGUGCAAAUGACAAAGAAAUUUCAAGAAAAUUUUCAUGAUGUACCUAGUAGUGUUCUUUUUUCAUUUUCCACUGUUUCCUUCACCUGUCUGUCUUGUCAUUGAGAACUUUGAAAGGGCUCAAAGUUGAAUGUAAUCCACAUUACAUUAAUGUGAAU